AAUACUCCCUCCGUCCCAAUAAAUGUGACCACUUUCUUUUCGGCACGGAGAUUAAGAAAGUGAUAGUUAAGUGUUAAUUAAAUGUGUUCCACCAAAAUUAAUGAAUUAAUUAAAAUAGUCCCCCUCGAGAAAAUACUUCCUGCUCUGUACCGUUUCCUUUGUACCGUUUCCCUCCCUCCUUCUGUUUCUAAUUUCACAUUGAUGUAUUUAUCUUCUUCCUUUUGUUGAAUGUUGGCCAGCUAAAGCAAAGAAAAAAUGGUGCUCGCAGAAACUGGGCAAAUGCACCCACCAAAUAUGUUCAAAUUAAUGAAUUAAUUAAAACUUGCUUCAACCCAUUUGUCUUCUUCUACUAGCUUCUUCUUCUUCCUUUUUUUUUCUUUUUCUUUAAAACCUGCGACACCACUCCAAAACACCGUCGGCCACCGCGUCCCUCUCUCAUCUCCGACGACCGCAACCUCUCUCUCUAAUCUUCCAUCUCCUCUCCCAUGCUCUAGUCGGAACGACAACAGAGCCGCCGCCUCACAAGCUCCGGCGACCGCAGCAGGGCCACAGCUGCUGCCUUCGCUCCUUCUUUUCCUCUCAUUUCCUAUCUGCUCCUCAUUAACCGCCGCUCGCAUAUGAGCGGCGGCGCCACCUCCAAACCCUAGAUCCCCAAAUCCAACCCCCUAUUUUCUUUCAAUUUCAGAAGACAGCGCCGCCGGCGCGACGCCACCUCCGGCCGAACAACAGUAGCCUAACACCGCCGUCGCCGCCGCUAUCUUCUACCCCACUCGACACACACGCAUCAAGAUUCACGACAACCUCUGCUCCUUCACCCCUAACGGCGUCGCCUGCGACUACUUCUCCAAAACCAGACACCCAAACCAGAUGCGAGAAGGGAAGGAGACGGCGGUCGCAGCGCAGCGCAGCGGCGGUGCCGCCGUCAAUCGGAGAGUGCAGAGGAGAGGAAAAUGGUGCGGCAGUUGUGUGUCUCUGCGUGGUGUGUGUGUGUUUGUUUAAAGUUUGUUUAGAUUUAGUUAGAAAUUUUAAUUAAAUUAAUUAAUUAUAGUUAAUUAAAGUAAACAUUUUCAUUCUGAGAAAGUGGUCAUUUUUAGUGGAUAAACCAAAAUGGAAAGAUUUAUUGGGACGGAUGGAGUAGAAGCUAACACUGGCUGACCUAUCUAGUGUAGCUGGCAUAAAAAAGCGGCCACAUAAUAUUUAUCAUCGUUUCCAAUUAUUUCCCUUUAAAUAUUUUUCUUUUUCUCAUCCUCUUAGCUCAGGUUGUUUAAAGCGGCUAAAUCAUGUCUUCUCUGCAUACUUUUGCGCCGCCGUCCUACUCAAUCGGAAUCUUCCGCCGUCCCUCACCCGGAAUUUGUUCCUCUUUCCUUACCCGAGUUAUUCCUGGCGGCAUUAAUUUUAACGCCAAUCUCAAUUUAAGGUGCAAUAAGGAACUAAAUCUGCAAGAAGAGAAGAGGCGGAGUCGUGUAUCUGCAUCAAACACAAAUCCUUCAAACAAAGCAGAUGACACAAAAUCGAGUGAUGAUGCUUCGAGUCCUCCACUCCUCACCAUUUUAGCUGGUCUCAUAGUCUUCUUGUUCAUCGCUUGGAUCAUCGGAUCCGUAGUAAUGUGGAUUAUUGGCUUUAUUUUACAUCCACCACAAUUGAAAUGAGUCUGAGUUUGUCUAGGAUUAACAUUAUUAGAUUCUCCGUUGAAUAAUUAUAGCUUAGCAAUAUUGACACUAUACUAAUGCAUUGCUUGCAGUUGCAGGCAGUGCCAACUUUGGGUUUUCAGUUCAAAUUUGGUCUCAGCAGGAUUUUGCACUA